rnacentral:rRNA from 1 species
GCAAGUAGAACGCUGAAGACUUUAGCUUGCUAAAGUUGGAAGAGUUGCGAACGGGUGAGUAACGCGUAGGUAACCUGCCUACUAGCGGGGGAUAACUAUUGGAAACGAUAGCUAAUACCGCAUAACAGCAUUUAACACAUGUUAGAUGCUUGAAAGGAGCAAUUGCUUCACUAGUAGAUGGACCUGCGUUGUAUUAGCUAGUUGGUGAGGUAACGGCUCACCAAGGCGACGAUACAUAGCCGACCUGAGAGGGUGAUCGGCCACACUGGGACUGAGACACGGCCCAGACUCCUACGGGAGGCAGCAGUAGGGAAUCUUCGGCAAUGGGGGCAACCCUGACCGAGCAACGCCGCGUGAGUGAAGAAGGUUUUCGGAUCGUAAAGCUCUGUUGUAAGAGAAGAACGUGUGUGAGAGUG